AGCGGUGUACUCUACUUUAGAGUACACGUCUGGGGGGCGUGUGGUCGCUGGUUCGAAUCCAGUCACCCCGA
rnacentral:tRNA from 1 species